GAUGAACGCUGGCGGCGUGCUUAACACAUGCAAGUCGAACGAAGCACUUAUCUUUGAUUCUUCGGAUGAAGAGGUUUGUGACUGAGUGGCGGACGGGUGAGUAACGCGUGGGUAACCUGCCUCAUACAGGGGGAUAACAGUUAGAAAUGACUGCUAAUACCGCAUAAGACCACGGAGCCGCAUGGCUCAGUGGGAAAAACUCCGGUGGUAUGAGAUGGACCCGCGUCUGAUUAGGUAGUUGGUGGGGUAACGGCCUACCAAGCCAACGAUCAGUAGCCGACCUGAGAGGGUGACCGGCCACAUUGGGACUGAGACACAGCCCAAACUCCUACGGGAGGCAGCAGUGGGGAAUAUUGCACAAUGGGGGAAACCCUGAUGCAGCGACGCCGCGUGAGCGAAGAAGUAUUUCGGUAUGUAAAGCUCUAUCAGCAGGGAAGAAAAUGACGGUACCUGACUAAGAAGCACCGGCUAAAUACGUG
rnacentral:rRNA from 1 species